UACGUAGGUGGCAAGCGUUUGUCCGGAUUUACUGGGCGUAAAGAGCGCGCAGGCGGUCGUUCAAGUCGCGUGUGAAAGCCCCCCGGCUCAACUGGGGAGGGUCACGCGAUACUGAUCGACUGGAAGGCAGGAGAGGGUAGUGGAAUUCCCGGUGUAGUGGUGAAAUGCGCAGAUAUCAGGAGGAACACCGGUGGCGAAGGCGGGGUCUCUGGGCCGUAACUGACGCUGAGGAGCGAAAGCGUGGGGAGCGAACAGG
rnacentral:rRNA from 1 species